rnacentral:rRNA from 1 species
UCAAGGUUGACCUCGGAUCAGGUAGGGAUACCCGCUGAACUUAAGCAUAUCAAUAAGCGGAGGA